rnacentral:rRNA from 1 species
CCUACGGGAGGCAGCAGUGGGGAAUAUUGGACAAUGGGCGAAAGCCUGAUCCAGCAACGCCGCGUGAGGGAUGACGGCCUUCGGGUUGUAAACCUCUUUCAGCAGGGACGAAGCGCAAGUGACGGUACCUGCAGAAGAAGCACCGGCCAACUACGUGCCAGCAGCCGCGGUAAUA